rnacentral:lncRNA from 10 species
GUUCCCAGAGCCUCUCUGGCCAAUACCCAUCAUCCCACAGGCCCUCUGCCCGGUCAGGGGAGGCACUGGCUGUCCACUGGACAGAGCAAAGGCCAGCGACUGAAAGGAGGGAAGCGGAGAGCUGGAGUGGGUAUGCUGCCCGGAAGCUCCGAAAGGAGAGACAGCCGCGCAGCUGGCAAUUGACAAUGACAACAGCACAAUAGCAGUGAAGAGCCGCGGGCCUUCCUGAGACUGCCAGGAAGCUGGGGGUGCCUUCUCCUGGCCUCCCUGCCCCAGGCUUGUGCCUCCACGAUGGCAGGUGUCCUCCCCUGCUGGAAAUGCUGCUCUAGGGGUCUGUGUCUGCCUGCUAGACUGGGAGCUCCGGAGGACAGAGGCCAAGGCUCUGCAUGCUGAACUCCCAGCAUCCAGCUGGUGCUAGGCACGUAACAGAUGCUCAGUUAAUGUUUGCCGAUAAAGGCUGGUGGGUGAAAAAAUGAAUCCGAAUUGCUUGCUUUGUUGCAUUUUUGAAGAAUGACAGCACCUCUGAGGAACUGACAGGAAUAAGUACAUAUGCAUUUUAAAGCUGGACAGACUGAAGUCCAGAAAAAUCACCUCUGUUGGAUAAAGUCUGCACUUGCUCUGCUGACAAGGGCACCUUUGCAGCUUCCGGAGCAAAGAGAGCUUGCUGCCCCCAGCACAGCCUUUCCUAUGUGCCUCUGAGCUCAUGAGUGGACAUCAAUUCUGGAAAGAAGACAUUAAAUUGUCAAGUUGGUCUUUCUUUUGAAAAGGAUAAAACAAGGCUCUUUUGGCAGACUUAAGACCUGUGACUUCAGGAUCACUCUUCCUUCCCACUGCGAAGCAGCCAUCUGGGGCUGAGGAAAGCAGCGGAGCUGCGAGCAGCCAUCCUGCCAGCCGGGCUUACCAGCCAGGCUCAGUGCUGUGUCUACACGGACACCUUGGUAGCCUCUUGGCUGCACUCGGAGAACUAUACGUCCCUGGGAUUUGCUUCAGCAAAGAUUCGGUGUUAAGACAACUCAGAUGCAAGGAAGAACUACUUGGACUGCUUCCUCUUGGAGGGUUUGAAACAAUUCUGUUCCGUGAAAAGUGUCAUUCCAGCAAUAAUUUGCAAGUUAGGCAGAAAGAGAUGUCAUGUAAGAGUUAUUAAGCAAAUGGAUUCUGUUUUCCUCCUGAUGGGAAGAGUCUUAUUAGCUGGGUGAAGCCCAUCUCAUUCUGGCUACACAAGCAAUUUGUUUUCAUGUUAUAAUGAGAGGGAAGAGGGUCUCAUUAAUCGGCCUGCAUCAUAUGCUCAGAAUGGUAGCGUACUGGAGGCCGACAAUUACCAUUCUGGGUGGCGUGUGCUGCAAUUAGGAAAAACUUUGUGGUUUUCAUUGACCCAAAUCUUUUAACUAAUGGUGGUAAGGGUCACUAAGAAAUCCAGUUGUUAUAGCUGACGUUUACAUUUGGAAAAGAAAUGUUUGUGUUGAUUUCAUUGAUAGAGAACCAUAUGGCCUUUCCGGUCUGCCUGCCUCUGACUAAAUGAUUAGUGUUACAGUCAUCGAGAGCAGCAUCCUGACCAUAAUAAUAAAUUUUUUAGCUACCAUUACCUACACGCACAUGGCCUUGACAUCAUUUAUAAUUCAAAGACCUGGAAUGUGGUGUCUGAGUGAGACUUCGUUAGUCAGAAAAAUCCACCAGAUUUAUGUGAAAAUCCAGAAAGAAAAGGCAACACCAUGGCUCACUGCACCAUUUCCACUCACGUUCUUUCUUGUGAGACCAGCUUCCUCUAGUGACAGAUUUCAGGGCGUUUUCAAAGGAUCCCAAUGCCCCAAGGGAAAAGAAGAGGCAGUAUCCAUUCUGAAGAUGACAUAAACCAUUGCUAACUGUGUCUUCAUCAUGUAUUUCUUUAUUUCAAGCUCAUGACACUGUCUCACGCUUAAUACGGUGUUUAACACAAUGGUCCUCAAGUUUUCCUGCGUAUUAGAAUCACCUAGGGAGUUUUAAAGCCUUCUGAUGCCUGGGCUGCACCCCAGAGCAAUUAAAUUGGAAUAUCAGAGGAGCCAACAGGAAAAAAUGCACCAGGAGGGAAAGACAGGAAAGGAGGGACAAGAGAGGAAGGGGGGCUCCACACAUCUGCAGCAGGAAAGGCUCGGAUUGCACCACCCACCCCUGCCUGCUGCACACGAGGCUGGGAGCUACCUUGGACUUUGUGGUCGUGGUCAUCCUGCAGGAUUGUGAUGGCAACUGUGUGGUUAUUUUCCAUCUCUAGGAGAGCAGCAUCAUGGCUGGCGGUGAGAUCUUCCACCUGGAGGAGAGUCGCAGUUACUGGUUAGACAGAGAGCUGCUUGGAGAACAGAAGUGGAAUUCCGUGAGUGGAAAAGGUCCGUGACCCAAAACAUCAAUGACAAGUCACAGCCUUGUGCCGAAGCAGGAGAGCUGGACUUUGGUGGUGAUGUGGCAGCCCUCGGAAUCACGGGGAGGUCACUGCCACAACCUGGCUCUUUGUAGGGGGGUCCAACUCCAGGCAGGGGAUCACUGCCUGAGGUACCUCUUUAGAGUCCUGAGUGUGGCUCCUGGACCAUCCCCUUCCCACUGCUUGUCCACGCGCUUGCACCGCUAUGAGCGAUGACGGCAAAGGAAAAGAAAAGCGUCCUCCCUACGAGGUGGUCUGUUUCCCAGUGGCAGGGGGAGCUACGGUACACAAGCACAGGUUCACAUUUAUGAAGCAGCCAAUAAGAAUUCCCAGCCUGAGAGGACCUUGGAACCAGAAGGAAUUGGAGGAGAUUUAAACAAGCUGACCCAAGGAAAGCACAAGAUCUUUCUAUGCAUUGAAGAUCACCAAAUCAAAGAUAAAAGUGCUCGACCAUUAUGGCCUAUGGCAAACUCGGGCUGGCUGAAGCAUCCUUCUCUUCCAUUUAGAACCCUGGUGAGGCCCCUUAGACCACCACUGGGCUGUCCUCCUCCCUCCUCAGAGACAGAGUUCUGGGCUGGGCCAUGGAGGUGUCUGUCAACACGGCAGUAGUCCUCGUUCUAUGGAAAACCAGCUGUUCCCUGUGACACGACUCCAUUCCCGCAGCUGCCUGCUAUUCAGCUGGGCUGACGGACAGCAGAGCACAGGGUUGGAAGACCACCCUCUCAGACAGGUUUACCAAGAAGCUCACUGAGAGGCGACACAAACGGCCAAGAACAUGAAAAGACGGUCAGUGCCCUUGCAGAUGGAAGCAGGCAAUCAUUUUUCACCUGCAAGGCUGAUAAAGAUGAAAUGUUCUGAUAAUACAGGAAGAGUAUAAGGAAACUGUCACUCGAUGGACUCCAGGUGAAAUAUAACUAAUCCAGCUGCCUUGGAGGGAAAAGAUAUCUUUCAAAAUUGAAAUGACAGGAAUGGCAGCAUUAUGGGUGGGAGAUAAAGAAUCUGGGUUUCUUUCAGGGGUGAUGAAAAUGUUCUAAAACGGAUUGUGGUGACAGUUUUCCACAACUCGGAAUAUACUGAAAACCACCACAUUGUAUACUUAAAUGGGUGGGUUGUAUGGUAUGUGAAUUAUAUCUCAAUAAAAUUUUUACCAAAAGAGAGGAAGAACAUUUUUAAAAAACUAACAUAACAUGGAAUAUAUCUCAGAGGAUAAAUUUAGAUGUUUUUAUAGAAGGAAAGUUCAUAUUCUGAUUUUAAAACUCUAGAUAACAAUGGUGAAGAUAAAU